rnacentral:snRNA from 1 species
GGAUGUGAGGGCAUCUGGCUGUGACAUCUGUCACCCCACUGAUCACGAGGGUUGAUGCUGCUGAUCUGGCUGGCAAAAUGGGUAUUCCCUUCCUCCCUCACUGCUCCACAUGCAUCCUUCCUGAAGCUGAAUGUUCAAAGAAGACAACUUUCCCCAAUAGAAAAGCACCUUUCUUCAGUGAAGAGUAUACAGGUUGCAGUGCUCUGUGCUAGAACCUUCAAACAAGCUCUCAAGGAUUGAAGAAUAAUAUCAUGAAAAUGUCUAUACUACACAAAAUAAUUUCCAAACAGCAUGGUAUUG